UACGUAGGGCGCAAGCGUUGUCCGGAAUCAUUGGGCGUAAAGAGCUCGUAGGCGGCCUGUCGCGUCUGCUGUGAAAUCCCGGGGCUCAACCCCGGGCGUGCAGUGGAUACGGGCUGGCUAGAGGCAGGCAGGGGAGAACGGAAUUCCCGGUGUAGCGGUGAAAUGCGCAGAUAUCGGGAAGAACACCGGUGGCGAAGGCGGCGACCUGGUCCGAUACUGACGCUGAGGCGCGAAAGCGUGGGGAGCAAACAGG
rnacentral:rRNA from 1 species